rfam:Triticum aestivum genome assembly, contig: Triticum_aestivum_CS42_TGACv1_scaffold_225132_3B
CUACUACUCCCUCCGUUCUGAAUUAUUUGUCUCAUAAAUGGAUGUAUCUGAAACAAAGAUAUGCCUAGAUACAUUCAUUUAUGCGACAAGUAAUUUCGAACGGAGGGAGUAUGUG